UACGUAGGGGGCAAGCGUUGUCCGGAGUUACUGGGCGUAAAGCGCACGCAGGCGGUCUUUUAAGUUUGGAGUGACAGUUGGUGGCUUAACUGCCAAAGUGCUUCGAAAACUGAAAGACUUGAGGGCUUCAGAGGGACACGGAAUCCGGGUGGAGUGGUGAAAUGCGUAGAGAUCGAGGAAGACACCGAUGGCGAAGGCAGGUCUCUGGGCCUACAUGACGCUGAGAAGCGAAGACAUGGGGAGCGAACAGG
rnacentral:rRNA from 1 species